rnacentral:lncRNA from 1 species
CUAAUUAGAGUUUUAAAUCACACAAGCUACAGCGACGAUGAUAUAUUAUUACAGUGAUAUGCAGGACUGUUGCUCAGAAAAGCUUAGAGAAAACCCAGCUAUAUACAGGUUAGAUUUUCCCUAGCAAAAUACUAGUAUUACAGUAUGAAACAAAUAAAUGAAUUUUUUUUUGUCUAAUUAGCCUGUUACAGAUUCUGUCCCAAAAUCAAAACAAGAAACAAGUUGAUUGGGUGGGAAGAACAUCUUACUCUCUUCUUCAUCAUCCAUCUUCCACAGUGAGUCCCAGCAGUAUUCCCAUGAAAAAUUGCAACCUUGUUGACUGUAGUUAUCAGGCAGAGGUUUUAUUAUUGUGUCUUCUUCAGGCAUAUCAAUGUCUUUCCAUAUAUCAUCCAUGGAGUAGCCAUUUCCAUCUUCAAAUUCUGGACUGUUUUUCUUUCCUGCCAUGUCAAGGCCCCCAGUGUCAUAAAAGCUUACAAUAUUUCCAGUACCAGAGGAGGGCAAGGAAUCGAC